GCCCAGCUAGCUCAGUCUGUAGAGCAUGAGACUCUUAAUCUCAGGGUCAUGAGUUCGAGCCCCACGUUGGGUG
rnacentral:tRNA from 1 species